rnacentral:rRNA from 1 species
UACGAAGGGGGGCGAGCGUUGUUCGGAUUUACUGGGCGUAAAGGGCGCGCAGGCGGCUUUGUUUGUCAGGCGUGAAAGCCCCGGGCUUAACCUGGGAACUGCGUUUGAUACGGCAGGGCUAGAGUUCGGGAGAGGAGAGUGGAAUUCCCAGUGUAGAGGUGAAAUUCGUAGAUAUUGGGAAGAACACCGGUGGCGAAGGCGGGC